rnacentral:sRNA from 1 species
GGGUGUGAGGGUGAUCUGGCUCGACCUGGCCGGCAAGGCGGGUUCCUCUUUCUCCCUCACCACUCUCUGUGCGUCCGUCCCACAGCUGCGCUGCUAGCCGAGGGCAAGCUCUCAAGAUGCUCUGAUAACCAGCCUGGGAGGUCAUCGCAAUACCCACUUUUUGUCUUUCUACAUAUGCCUGAUGUGUAAACUAGUAUUGCAAGGAGCACAUGGCUUCCACACCUCUGC